ensembl:lncRNA
GCUAUUGUGUCAACUAACAAAAACAAGUGGACUGAAUGAAGGAAGAGUCCAACUGUCAGAGCUGAGUGAGUGGUUAGUUACCUUUCACAUGGGAUACUCCUCUACCAGGAUGGAUAUCAGGGGGCCAUUUGGGAUCUAAUCACAUUCUGUCAGCUGUCGGAAUAACUAGAGCCCAUAUCCCAGUAUUCCUGUUAUUGUUCCUGUUAUUAUUCCUGCUUUUAAGACCCUUCUUGUUCCCAGAUGGGAAACCAGGCUAUCCAGUCCAAUCAUUUAUCCAUCUGAUCACCCUCAACUUCCUCAGGCCAGAUAAGUUCAACUUCCUCAGGCCAGAUAAGUCCAACUUCCUCAGGCCAGAUAAGUCCAACUUCCUCAUGCCAGAUAAGUCCAACUUCCUCAGUCCAGAUAAGUCCAACUUCCUCAGGCCAGAUAAGCCCAACUUCCUCAGUCCAGAUAAGUCCAACUUCCUCAGUCCAGAUAAGUCCAACUUCCUCAGGCCAGAUAAGUCCAACUCAACUUCCUCAGUCCCGAUAAGUCCAACUCAACUUCCUCAGGCCAGAUAAGUCCAACUCAACUUCCUCAGUCCAGAUAAGUCCAACUCAACUGCACCAAAUGAAAGUGAUGGGCAAGGCUACUGCAUGUAGGAUACUGAUGGAGACGUGUUUCUCUCCUUUACCCAAGACCCUUUCUGUUUUAUACCUCUCUCUGUCUGUCCUCAAGAUAACAAACAAAACCAAGGUUAGUCUUGUUUAUGUCUCCUCUCCUCCAUGUCUCAGUGUCUUACUGCAG